UACGGGGGGGGCAAGCGUUGUUCGGAAUUACUGGGCGUAAAGGGCUCGUAGGCGGCCAACUAAGUCAGACGUGAAAUCCCCAGGCUCAACCUGGGAACUGCGUCUGAUACUGGAUGGCUUGAAUCCGGGAGAGGGAUGCAGAAUUCCAGGUGUAGCGGUGAAAUGCGUAGAUAUCUGGAGGAAUACCGGUGGCGAAGGCGACAUCCUGGACCGGUAUUGACGCUGAGGCGCGAAAGCCAGGGGAGCAAACGGG
rnacentral:rRNA from 1 species